rnacentral:rRNA from 1 species
UAGUCCACGCCGUAAACGAUGUCUACUAGCCGUUGGGGAACUUGAUUCCUUAGUGGCGCAGCUAACGCACUAAGUAGACCGCCUGGGGAGUACGGUCGCAAGAUUAAAACUCAAAUGAAUUGACGGGGGCCCGCACAAGCGGUGGAGCAUGUGGUUUAAUUCGAUGCAACGCGAAGAACCUUACCUGGUCUUGACAUCCUGCGAAUUUUCUAGAGAUAGAUUAGUGCCUUCGGGAACGCAGUGACAGGUGCUGCAUGACUGUCGUCAGCUCGUGUUGUGAAAUGUUGGGUUAAGUCCCGUAACGAGCGCAACCCUUAUCCUUAUUUGCCAGCACUUCGGGUGGGAACUCUAAGGAGACUGCCGGUGACAAACCGGAGGAAGGUGGGGGCGACGUCAAGGUCAUCAUGGCCCUUACGACCAGGGGCUACACACGUGCUACAAUGGGCAAAUACAGAGGGGACGCAAGACCGCGAGGGU